rnacentral:lncRNA from 1 species
GCCGGGCACGGAACACAAUGUGGCUCCUUGUUCCCCAGCCCGGCCGAGCCUCCUGGAAUUGGCCCAUUUCCUGCCUGGGCCGUGGGGCCUUUUCCAAGGAGUGCAAAGGGACCUGCUCUUGCCUUUUCCUCUUGGACCACAGCCUCCUGAGUAAUGGUGAACCUCCUGAUGCCUUGUGCAGCUGGAAGAAGGGCAUAGAAGUACAGCAGAAACCAGGUAUACUCGCUUCUCCCUGACUUAGCUUAGUUUUUGUCUUUCUUUUUUCUACAGUCUGUUCACAAGGAAGACAUCUCAGCACCAUUCCAUUAGCACCACCUUGGAUCUUGUACUUGGUUCAUCAAAAAGGAGAACACUGAGCUCAGUCCUGAUGGGAAUAGAGGAGGACCACAGUCACAAAGCCCAAGCACCUUUGUGCAUGGAGAGGAACAGGGCUGCCUUCAGCUCUGUAGGGGUGAGCAUGCUGACCGAAGAAAGUAGGUAAGGUUAUGCUAUCUAGUUAACAAUCCUGCCUGGAUAAGUGUCUUCCCUAGCAAUUGGUGUGAGCUAUGAAUGGAUCAAGAAGGAAUAAAAAGAGACAGUUGAAAAUCCUGGGAAAUCUGGUCAUCUGGGUUAUUUCAGUAAAAGACCAAAGAGUAUUAAAGUUUAAACACCUGAGAAUACCUUUAUAUUAAGAAAACCUUGGGACAAAUUAAUAAUAGUACUAAGGCUGCCUGUGAGCCAGAAACUAUUCUAAAUGACUUACAGAUGUUAAGAUGCAAUAAUCCCUACAACCCUCUAAUGAGGUCAGUACUACUGUACUAUUAUUUAUCCCCACAUUUCAGAAAGGAUGGCUGGAGCGGUGGUUCUCAAAGUGUGAGUACUGGAUCACCUAUAUCUGGGAACUUACUAGAAAUGUGAAUUCUCUGGCACUAACCCAGAUCUGCUACAUCAGAAACUCCACAGGUAAGGUACUCUGUUUUUCAGUAAGCCUUCUGGGUGAUUCCAAUGCAUGCUUAAGCUUGAGAACCAUGAAGCUAGAGUUUGCUGCAGUAACAAAACUCCCUACUUUCAGUGGCUUAAAACAGCAAUGGACAUUUCUCCCUCACAUUGCUUGUCCACUGGGGGUGGGAAGCGGACUUUGUUCAUCACAGCUCUCAGGCACCCUUUGGAAGUAGUCCUAAAGUCAUAUAAAAAAUGAAGAAACAGGGAUCCCUGGGUGGCGCAGCGGUUCAGCGCCUGCCUUUGGCCCAGGGCGUGAUCCUGGAGACCCGGGAUCGAAUCCCACAUCGGGCUCCCGGUGCAUGGAGCCUGCAUCUCCCUCUGCCUGUGUCUCUGCCUCUCUCUCUCUCUCUCUCUCUCUGUGACUAUCAUAAAAAAAAUUAAAUAAAAUGAAGAAACAUUUAUUUAAGAAAAUCUACUAAAAGUUGGUGAGAACAGUGAGAGUCUGUGGUAUUUGAACCAAGACUCCCAUCCCCCACCUUCGCUCAUCAAGAUGGUAAUUCCACUCCAGACUGGUACAGCCCAGAACACCAAAGUCCCCUUCCUGCUAGCUCCCAGUCAGAGGGCUAUCUUCCCAGAUGGGGCAGGACACCACUAUUUCUCAGCCCACCUCCAUCUAUCUGCUGCUGAGCCAUUGCUCUGGGCUCCCUUCUGCCUAGCCCCCAUUCUGCCAUGAGCAUGAUACCACUGAGAAUUCUAGGUCCCAAUCCCCUUCCCUUGGCUUGUAAGGUAGAGGUUCCAUCAUGAGAAAGGAAAACCAAGAAGACCUGAGGCUAUCACUCUUCCCCUCUAAUGAGCACUCAGCUCCUAAAGCAGAGCUGUCUAUCAGAGAGAAGCAAACCCUGUCCCUAUCCCCAGCUCCAGAGACAUGGGCCAGAAUUUUUACCUAGAGGAAGAGGCAGACUGUAGAACAGAGGGCUGCCAAUCUCUCCCCAAAGGAACUGACUUCAUUUACAACAGGCUUGAACUUCUUCAAGCCUAGAAGUGCUCUCAAAAACACUGGAGACUGUGAUAAGAUGUAGUUGAAAGGAAAUUAGUAGAUUCAUUAGAGAUACAGGUUAAACUGUAGGCUGGCUAGUUUGUCAGAAUCAGGGAAAGAGACACUUGGAAAGAUCCCGUCUGAGGUCAGAACAAGUCUCAAACAUUGACCUCAGGAACUAUUCCCUCAAUGAGCCCAAAUUUGAUUGGGUCAGUCUGGCAACAAUUUAUGCCAUAGCACAUUGUUGAAAAGAAUAAUUAGCCAGCAAUUAGUGGGGCUUAAUAGAUGGGUGCAAUCAGGGAAAGAGACAAAGAGAGCCCUGCCAAAACCAGUCAUUCCUGGGUAUCUGUGGGCAUACCCAUGUUUGCACCCCCUUAGGAGCAACAUCAGAGGCUACAAACUGAGAAGGAGAAAGGAAGGAACAAAUAAUCCAUUGAAGCGCAAUACAAAUAGGCAAAUAGUAAUAACAAGCCCCAGGGGUAAGGGGGACCAUACUGAGUUCCUAAAUAUGAGUCCCAUAUUAUCUAAAAUCUAAUGUCUAUAAUUUACAAUUAUCCAGGCUACGACAAAAAAUAUGAGUCAUUCAAAGAAACAAGAAAGCAUGACUCAUAUAUCAGGAAAAAAUUCAGGUAACAGAAACUGCCUAUGAGAGUGACCAGGUAUUGGAUCUAAUAGAUGAAACCCUCAACGUAGUCAUUUUCAAUAUAUUCAAAAAACCAAAGGAAACCAUGAUAAAAGAAGUAAAAGGAGAUAUUAUGAAAAAAUUGCAUCAAGUAGAGUAUAUCAAUAAAAAGAAAUUAUACAAGAAAUCAAAUGGAAAUUCUGGAGUGAAAAAGUACAAUUAUUAACAUGAAAAAUUCACUCAAGAGACAGACCAGUAGACUUGAACUGGUAGAAGAAAGAAUCAAUAAGCUCAAAGAUAGACUGAUAGAGAGUAGGCUAUUUGAAGAACAAAGAUUUUAUUUUAUUUUAUUUUUAAUUUUUAUUUAUUUAUGAUAGUCACAGAGAGAGAGAGAGGCAGAGACACAGG